rnacentral:misc_RNA from 1 species
UUUCCGUAGGUGAACCUGCGGAAGGAUCAUUAAAAAAUUGGACUCCAUUGGUGAGUUCAUUAAUAAUCCCUACCCUUUGUGAAUUUGUUUGUUUGAAUAAUUUUUUUUCCAAAAAAAAUUAUUGAAUGUCUUUCCUUGUUUUGGUGGAGCUUGUAAAGUGAAACCAGGCAGGGGAAUGGCAAACAAUAAUUAUUUUUGAAAAAGACCUUUUUUUAAAAUUAAACUUUUUGUAUUCAUUUGUCUAAAAUUAAUUUUUAUAAUAUAAAAACAACUUUUGACAAUGGAUCUCUUGGUUCUCGCAACGAUGAAGAACGCAGCAAAAUGCGAUAAGUAGUGUGAAUUGCAGAAUACGUGAAUCAUCGAAUCUUCGAACGCAUAUUGCACUUUUUUAGUUUACUAAAAAAGUAUGUCUGUUUGAGUAUCAGUAAAAUAUUCUCAUAAAAAACAUUGUUUUUUUUAUGGUUAUGAGUGUUUUACAACGAUAACAAGUUGUUUCACUUUAAAUUCUUUGUUAUCAAAAAAAUCAUUAAAAGCUAAUUUUAAAGAUUUUUUAAAAUUGGAUAAAAUUUUCCCGUAAAAAGGAAUAACCUAAACAAUUUUAAAAAAUUAAAAUUGGUUUGAUUUUUUUUGAAACCCAAAGGAAAAAAAAACGAAAUUAACUUGAUCUCAAAUCAGAUAAGAGUACCCGCUGAACUUAAGCAUAUCAAUAAGCGGAGGAAAAGAAACUAACUAGGAUUCCCUCAGUAACGGCGAGUGAAGCGGGAAGAGCUCAAAUUUGAAAUCUUCAAGGUUUUACCUUGACGAAUUGUAGUUUAAAGAAGUGUUUUCUGUUGGAGUUUUGGUAAAAGUUCUUUGGAAAAGGACAUCAUAGAGGGUGAGAAUCCCGUAUUUGACCAUUAUCUCCAGCUUUGUGAUACACUUUCAAAGAGUCGGAUUGUUUGGGAAUGCAGUCCAAAAUGGGUGGUAAAUUUCAUCUAAAGCUAAAUACUGGCGAGAGACCGAUAGCGAACAAGUACCGUGAGGGAAAGAUGAAAAGAACUUUGAAAAGAGAGUUAAACAGUACGUGAAAUUGUCAAAAGGGAAGCGUUUGACACCAGUGUUGUUUUCUCGAAAAUCAAUUAAAAAAGGCCGGAUUUUGUGUUGUAUUGACUUUAUCAGCUUUCUGCACUCUUUUCUUGUCUUUGUUAAUGCACUUUUCGUUUAACAAGUCAACAUCAAUUUCUUUUGUUGUAAAAGGGUCAUUGGAAGGUGGCUUUCUUUUCGGAGAAAGUGUUUAUAGCCUUUGGCCUCUGCAAUCGGAGAGAUUGAGGUCUGCAGCGUAGAUCCUUCGGGGUUAGAUACAUUUGUGCUAAGUUAUAGCCUUUCAUAGACAACUUGUUGACUAUGAUCAGUCAUGUAGCUUACUCGCUUAUGCUAUUUUACCUACGCUUAGGAUGUUGAG